rfam:Picea glauca, whole genome shotgun sequence.
UUUCUAAAACAUAGGGUUAAUGCAUCGGAUCCCAUUAGAACUCCGUAGUUAAGCACGCUUGGGAUAGAGUAGUACUGGGAUGGGUGAUAGCCCGGGAAGUCCUAGUAUUUUAUAUGC